AUUGAACGCUGGCGGCAGGCCUAACACAUGCAAGUCGAACGAGUGGCGGACGGGUGAGUAAUGUCUGGGAACUGCCUGAUGGAGGGGGAUCACUACUGAAAACGGUAGCUAAUACCGCAUACCAUCGGAUGUGCCCAGAUGGGAUUAGCUAGUAGGUGGGGUAAAGGCUCACCUAGGCGACGAUCCCUCGCUGGUCUGAGAGGAUGACCAGCACAACUGUACUGGGAAAACGGUCCAGACUCCUACGGGAGCCAGCAGGGGGGAAUAUUGCAGAAUGUGCUCAAGCCGGAUGCAGCCAUGCAGCGUGUAGGAAGAAGGCCUUCGGGUUGUAAAGUACUUUCAGCGGGGAGGCGUUACCCGAAGAAGAAGCACCGGCUAACUCCGUGCCAGCCGCCGCGGUAAUUC
rnacentral:rRNA from 1 species